rnacentral:rRNA from 1 species
GAUGAACGCUGGCGGCGUGCUUAACACAUGCAAGUCGAACGGUGAACACGGAGCUUGCUCUGUGGGAUCAGUGGCGAACGGGUGAGUAACACGUGAGCAACCUGCCCCUGACUCUGGGAUAAGCGCUGGAAACGGCGUCUAAUACUGGAUAUGUGACGUGACCGCAUGGUCUGCGUUUGGAAAGAUCUUUCGGUUGGGGAUGGGCUCGCGGCUUAUCAGCUUGUUGGUGAGGUAGUGGCUCACCAAGGCGUCGACGGGUAGCCGGCCUGAGAGGGUGACCGGCCACACUGGGACUGAGACACGGCCCAGACUCCUACGGGAGGCAGCAGUGGGGAAUAUUGCACAAUGGGCGCAAGCCUGAUGCAGCAACGCCGCGUGAGGGAUGACGGCCUUCGGGUUGUAAACCUCUUUUAGCAGGGAAGAAGCGAGAGUGACGGUACCUGGAGAAGAAGCACCGGCUAACUACGUG